rnacentral:rRNA from 1 species
AUUGAACGCUGGCGGCAUGCUUUACACAUGCAAGUCGAACGGCAGCGCGGGCUUCGGCCUGGCGGCGAGUGGCGAACGGGUGAGUAAUGCAUCGGAACGUGCCCAGUAGUGGGGGAUAGCCCGGCGAAAGCCGGAUUAAUACCGCAUACGACCUGAGGGUGAAAGCGGGGGACCGAAAGGCCUCGCGCUAUUGGAGCGGCCGAUGUCGGAUUAGCUAGUUGGUGGGGUAAAGGCUUACCAAGGCGACGAUCCGUAGCUGGUCUGAGAGGACGACCAGCCACACUGGGACUGAGACACGGCCCAGACUCCUACGGGAGGCAGCAGUGGGGAAUUUUGGACAAUGGGGGCAACCCUGAUCCAGCCAUGCCGCGUGCGGGAAGAAGGCCUUCGGGUUGCAAACCGCUUUUGUUCGGGAAGAAAUCCUCUGGGCUAAUACCCCGGGGGGAUGACGGUACCGGAAGAAUAAGCACCGGCUAACUACGUG